CAGGCUCGCAGACCCGGGUUUGCUGCUCUUGCGCUCAGCUCCCCCUCCCUGGGGAGUCCCUUGCUCCUGGGGUUGGACCAGACCACAGCAGCGGGCCGGGCGGCAUUAUUAAGCUUUGGACAGUAGAGGGCGCUGGCGGGACGCCGCGGAGGAAGGGGCCUCUGCUCGCAGGGCCCAGGGCUCCCUCCAGCCUCUCCUUGUUCCAGUUGCUGCUUUCCCUACCGGGAGUGAAUAUGUGGGGGAGAAGCAUUAGGUGGGGCCUAGCCCCAGCCUUGCAGCCAGGCGCCGCGGUCCCUCUGCCACCUGGCAGCCCACCUGGACCUGUGGCCACUGCACUGUGGCCCACCGGACGCCUCCACCAGCACCAGCGCCGCGCACCCCUUUGCCUGGGCUCAGAGAGGGGUCCCUUGCCCGCACUGUGUCCGGCUCCACAGGAACCCCAGCAACCCCGGACCCCAGCCUCGGGAGGGCCCCCUCCACGCUGGUCCUCCUCAGCCCUGGGCACCAGGCAGGGCCCUCACCUCCCGGGAGCCCCGCCUCCUCCUCCUGUCCUCAGUCCUGCUAUCAAGUGUGCCCCAUUCAGUCGCUCUGGGGCUCCUUCUCCAGUCGAGCUCUGACCCAGAGGCCUCCCCAGGCACCCUGGGGAGAACCAAGACCCUGCGGUCGCGGUCCCAGGGCUGGGGGUGACGCCAGCUCCGUGCUGUCUGCUGCGUGGUGGGCAAGCAGCUGCACCCUGCCCCGCCCCCCGGGGCUCUGUUCCCUCCCCCAGGAGAAAAAUCCCUCCCCUCCCCACCACAUAAGGGGCAGGGCGCCAGGUGCCGGGCCUGCUGGGGCUCCAGACGGCGGAGCAGCACCUUGCGUUGUGAGCACUGGGAGGCCGGCUUGCGGCGGGGUGCGGGAGGGAGCCCCUCUGUUCCCGCUGGCCACAGGCCCUGAGGCCAGCACCUGCAGGAGGCGCCCAGCUGGGCCACAAGGCUGCAGGCCACAGACUGACGGGUGCCCCGGGCCUGGCCCUGACUCUUCCCACUCCUCU
rnacentral:lncRNA from 1 species